GAUCAUGGCUCAGGAUGAACGCUGGCGGCGCGCCUAACACAUGCAAGUCGAACGGUUAAAGCACCUCCGGGUGUGCAUAAAGUGGCGAACGGCUGAGUAACACGCGGGCAACCUGCCCCCCGCACCGGGACAGCCUCGGGAAACCGGUGGAUAAUACCGGAUACUCCGGACCCCCGCCAUGGGGGACCGGGGAAAGCCCACGACGGCGAGGGAGUGGGCCCGCGGCCUGUUAGCUAGUUGGUGGGGCAACGGCCCACCAAGGCGAUUAUGGG
rnacentral:rRNA from 1 species